AGUGAACGCUGGCGGUAGGCCUACCACAUGCAAGUCGAACGUCAGCACAUUAAAGCCUUCCUCUUCCGGGGGCCGGGGGGCGAAUGGUGAGGAAAAACAUCGGAAUCUAUUUUUUCUUGGGGAUUAACGUGGGAAAUCUUCCGCUAAUACCCCUUAGGACGUACGGGUAAAAGCUGGGGAACUCCGGACCUGGGGUGAUGGAUUGACCGGAUGUCGGAUUAGCUAGUUGGCGGGGUAAAGGCCCACCAAGGCGACGAUCCGUAGCUGGUCUGAGAGGAUGAUCAGCCACACUGGAACUGAGACACGGUCCAGACUCCUACGGGAGGCAGCAGUGGGGAAUAUUGGACAAUGGGCGCAAGCCUGAUCCAGCCAUACCGCGUGGGUGAAGAAGGCCUUCGGGUUGUAAAGCCCUUUUGUUGGGAAAGAAAAGCAGCAGGUUAAUACCCCGCUGUUCUGACGGUACCCAAAGAAUAAGCACCGGCUAACUUCGUG
rnacentral:rRNA from 1 species